GCUCGAGUGGCGGAAUUGGCAGACGCGCUGGACUCAAAAUCCAGUUAGGCUAACACCUAGUGUGGGUUCGACUCCCACCUCGAGCA
rnacentral:tRNA from 1 species